GAAUUCACUUUAAAUUAACAUUGGUUCUUAUGGGAGUAUUCACCCAUCGGCAGAAAGUUGAGCAGAAAAAAAGAACUGUUCAAAUCAGAGACGAACUGUCGUUCAUCUUGCCGUUCUUUAUAAGGCCUAUCAACACAAUGCUAUUUUGCUUCGACCGAUCACUGCUCGUGAACCGUUUUGUCGAAAAAGAACUAAUUUCGGGAUUCUGUCGACGAGAACAGACAGCUUCGAAUCACUUUUCUGCUCUGAUCACGUGACACCGGCAGAAUAAUCUUUCUGUGGAUCAGACGCCAUGUUCUUUUUAACCUCAAUCUUUAAUUGUUGGAUGGUUUGUUUUGAUAUUGGUUGUCAGAUUUCGGAUUGCUACUAUUAUACUGUGAAAUUAAUUUGCAGUGGAAAAUUGAGGUAUAAAAUAUUUCUAUUGGUUUCUUUAUUCUUAUAAUUUUUACAAGAGAAAUUGAAAAUGGAUUUACAACAGAAAGGCGUGAAAUUUUCGAAGUUCAAAGUUUUGUACUUUCCAGACCUGCACAACGAAUUACCUAUUUGAAAAAUAGAAUAUGGUUAGAAAUUGCUGAUGUAAUAGAGGAUUCAAGUACCAUUUACAAACAAAAUAUUGAAGAGAAUGUGCUCAAAGGAAAUGCAUAUGAAUUCUUUUUUGUUGACCAGGAUGGAACAAUUCUUUGGAACCUAUACUUAGAAUAAGUUAGUUAGGCCUAGUGAUGUACCAGCCAGAAGUAGAGGAUGACAAAGAAAAUCAACUAUGAAUAAUAUUCCAUGGAUAUGAUUCAUGUAUGAUGUAGUAGCCUACAGAAGAAAGAGAUGGACUAAUCUAAGAAAUAUAUUCAUUU
rnacentral:lncRNA from 1 species